rnacentral:rRNA from 1 species
UACGAAGGGUGCAAGCGUUACUCGGAAUUACUGGGCGUAAAGCGUGCGUAGGCGGUUUGUUAAGUCUGUUGUGAAAGCCCCGGGCUCAACCUGGGAAUGGCAAUGGAAACUGGCGAGCUAGAGUACGGUAGAGGAGAGUGGAAUUCCCGGUGUAGCAGUGAAAUGCGUAGAGAUCGGGAGGAACACCUGUGGCGAAGGCGGCCCCCUGGGCCGGCCCUGACACUGAGACGCGAAGGCGUGGGGAGCGAACGGG